GACGAACGCUGGCGGCGUGCCUAAUACAUGCAAGUCGAACGCAGUGGGGACGGGUGAGUAACACGUGGGUAACCUCCCAUCAGAGGGGAUAAAACUUGGAAACAGCUGCUAAACCGAUACUGAUGGAUGAACCCGCGGUGCAUUAGCUAGUUGGGGAGGUACCGGCUCACCAAGGCCACGAUGCAUAGCCGACCGGAGAGGGGGAUCGGCCAAACUGGGACUGAGACACGGACCAGACGCCUACAGGAGGCAGCAGUAGGGAAUCUUGGGCAAUGGACGAAAGUCUGACCGAGCCACGCCGCGUGAAUGAAGAAGGUUUUCGGAUCGUAAAACUCUGUUGUUAGAGAGGCGGUAUCUAACCAGAAAGCCACGGCUAACUACGUGCCAGCAGCCGCGGUAAUUC
rnacentral:rRNA from 1 species